CUGUGGGUUGGCAGCACACUACAUUGCUGCCUGCUAUAAGAUGAGGGACAGUGUCUGACAGACCAACUAACCUGCACAUGUCCUCUAUGCUUAUUGUUAAAUGUUAUUUUGACACUUGGUUAUUGUUGUUAUUGUUGUCCCGUUGAUAAUAUUUAUUAUUAUUAUUUUAAUUAAUUAUGUCAAUAUUUAUUAUUAUUAUUAUUUAUUAUGUUAAUAUUGGAAAUGUCCAAAGUAAGCUUUGCCUUGGCCUCCGUUUUAGGCUCAAUAUCCCAAGCAGGGCUACAGAAACUUCCAGAGAGGAUCGGAUCAGGCUCCUUGGGCUUUACAUUAUUCUAUUUUUUUUUUUUUUUUUUUUUUGGGGGGGGUCACUCUGGUUUGUGUCCUGGGCAGAAUGAUGUCGCCGUAACCAAGUGGUAACAUAUUGUUUUGUGUUCCACUGUACAAGCAGAGAGAGAGCAGAGAGAGAGCAGAGAGAGAGCAGAGAGAGAGCACAGAGAGAGAGAGCAGAGAGAGAGAGAGAGAGAGCAGAGAGGAGGAGCAGAGAGAGAGAGAGCAGUGAGAGAGCAGAGAGAGAACAGAGGGAGAGCAGUGAGAGAGCAGAGGGAGAGCAGAGAGAGAGCAGAAAGAGAGCAGAGAGAGCAGAGGGAGAGCAGAGAGAGAGAGAGCAGAGAGAGCAGUGAGAGAGCAGAGGGAGAGCAGAGAGCAGAGAGAGCAGAAAGAGAGCAGAGAGAGAGCAGAGAGAGAGCAGAGAGAGAACAGAGGGAGAGCAGAGAGAGAGCAGAGAGAGAACAGAGGGAGAGCAGAGAGAGAGCAGAGAGAGCAGAAAGAGAGCAGAGAGAGAGCAGAGAGAGAGCAGAGAGAGAACAGAGGGAGAGCAGAGAGAGAGCACAGAAAGAGAGCAGAGAGAGAGCAGAGAGAGAGCAGAGAGAGAACAGAGGGAGAGCAGAGAGAGAGCAGAGGGAGAGAGCAGUGAGAGAGCAGAGGGAGAGCAGAGGGAGAGAGCAGGGAGAGAGCAGAGAGAGAGCAGAGAGAGAGCAGAGAGAG
ensembl:lncRNA